GUAAAACUAAAAAAUCAACCAGCUAACUAGAUGUAAGCAAGAGCUGCACUGCAUGUGCAUCUAUCUACAGCUAGCUGCUGUGCUACAACGCAGUGGAGUAUAUUGUGCACGAAAAACAUUUCAUCGUCAUUGUGCCCCAGUCAUCGUAUAAAACAUCUUUUUACAGUGAAGGACGACACUCAGGUAGAAUUCGAUUUCAAUCAAUCAACCCAUCCUCUAAUAUUUAUAUAAUUUAAUUUGUGAUCAUAAAGCGUGUAAAAUAACUGACUAAUGUUAGAAGCAACUAAAUAGACCUAGAGUCUACUCAUAGUCGUCAUAUUUUGCCAAGCAUUGCAGUGAACUGUGCGAGGUCAAGUUAGUAGAUCUAUUAUUUAUUUAGAGUUCACAACGUAAUAGAUUGUAUCCUAACAAAAGUCGGUAUAUUUAUUAUCUCUCAUAAUGCAGUAUGCUGCUCAGCAAAUGUUAUUAUUCCCAUUCGCAUGAAUACAAAAUGUGAAUCAAUGUUGGUGAAAAAUCGCACAUCCUACUGCAGUGCACACAUUGUUAAUGCCCACACAGGGCCAGUACAUGAGUAGUGAACAAGCAU